rnacentral:rRNA from 1 species
GCGUGCUUAACACAUGCAAGUCGAACGAGAACGGUCCUAGCUUGCUAGGAUGUCAGCUAAGUGGCGGACGGGUGAGUAAUGUAUAGUUAAUCUGCCCUUUAGAGAGGAAUAACUACUGGAAACGGUAGCUAAUACCUCAUACUCCUUCUUUUUUAAUAAGAGUUGGGAAAUGUUUUUUCGCUAAAGGAUGAGACUAUAUGGUAUCAGGUAGUUGGUGGGGUAAGAGCCCACCAAGCCAAUGACGCCUAGCUGGUCUGAGAGGAUGAUCGGCCACACUGGAACUGAGACACGGUCCAGACUCCUACGGGAGGCAGCAGUGGGGAAUAUUGCACAAUGGAGGAAACUCUGAUGCAGCAACGCCGCGUGGAGGAUGACACAUUUCGGUGCGUAAACUCCUUUUAUAUGGGAAGAUAAUGACGGUACCAUAUGAAUAAGCACCGGCUAACUCCGUGCCAGCAGCCGCGGUAAUACGGAGGGUGCAAGCGUUACUCGGAAUCACUGGGCGUAAAGCGCGCGCAGGCGGCUAUUUAAGUUGGAUGUGAAAGCCUACGGCUCAACCGUAGAACUGCAUCCAAAACUAUUUAGCUAGAGUGUGGGAGAGGAAGAUGGAAUUAGUUGUGUA